rnacentral:rRNA from 1 species
GCCAGGGGCGAUGACACUUUGACGAUAUUAGUUCAAGAAUCUCGAUUAAUCACUGAAGUUAAUCAACGUUGGGCGUGGUUAGGAUCCUACUGGGUAACCACCUGGACAAUAGCGUGCUACUGGCU